rnacentral:lncRNA from 1 species
UGUUGGAGCGGCCUACAAUUAUUUCAAUGCACUGCCUGAAUUACGCAUGAAUUACUGAAUUACGCAUGAAUUCUGGUUGUUAUACGGAAAAUAAGAGUCGUAUGCAAGGAAUUUUGUUUCCAGUCGAGAAUUGUAAUCAAACUGUGAAUUUAAAAACAUCUAGAAAUAAUCUAUUACUCCUCUAAUACAUACUUUAAUCUUUAUUUCUUGAGCAAGAAAUCUUAAUUUUCGAGCGGGAUAUAGUGAUGUCUAAGACCUGAAUGUAAACGCUAACCGGUUCCUAUUAAAGACCGCCUUCUGGAUACUUUUCUAGGAAUAAAUGAAAUUUUUAUUCAAAAUAUGAACAGGAAUAUACUUUACAAAAGACAAAGUAAUAACAGCAAAAAGAAAAGAAAGAAAAAAUCAUCAAUGCAGCACGAAGUGCUUCUAUUGGUCGCACACCACAAGGUCCAACGGAACCUACUGAGGCAAGCCAGUACGCUCACGGGCGAUGGCAUUGGAAAAGCCAAGCACCCUCACGAGCAUCAUCUGACACCUCGGUAAGGCGAGCUGCCAACGAUGACAAGUACUUCACUGUUAGCGGCCCUGUCCCUCCAAACGUCUCAAACGCCACAGGUUGGAAGAAAUAGUUCACUGCUAAGUCCCGAUACUAGUUCUUCACUGGAAUGUUACUGGAAUAAAGGAAAGGCAAAUGUGUCCCCAAACAGGGUUUGAAGUUAGACAGCGGAAUAAGGAAAUUAAUUUGAAAUUGAGUAACUGUAAAUGCUUCAGUUAUGUUUCUAAUUUUCUUCAUCGAAAAUAUACCCUUUCUCAUAGGAAGAGGAAGAGGACAGGAAACAAUAUAGCUCUGAUAUCCUCUUCGUAUCGUUAUCGUUUAUAUUUUAAAAUGUAAGUAAGCAUAUUAAAAUUGAAAAAGACAAAAAUGCUUGGGAUAAUUAUCUUGUAUGAAGAAAUGAAAAUAACCAAUUAAGACGUUGGUUCCAACAAUGACCAGAAGAAAACAAUGACCAAUUCUAUCUAACUUUAAAGACAUUAGCAAGAUUUACAACUAUCUACAAGAGACAACACCCAACUAAAGAACCUAUUAAAAACUGCAUGGAUUCAGCUGUGAUAGUGAAAUAUGUGAUUAAAGAAAAUCUGCUAGAGCUACUUUGAGAAAAGUGGCCAUGCUGGAACACCGCCUUUGGUCAAACGAAUCAACCCCAGGACUUAUUCUUUAACCAGCCCAAGAAUGGUAGUAAGCACAAGCCUGUAUGUAUGCACACACACACACACGCACACAUGUAUAAAUACACACUUUCAUACAAACAAAUAGAUAUAUAUAACAUACCUCUACAGUUUCAAUCAAACAAAUUCUGCUGAGAAGGUGUUGGUCAACCAAAGACUGCAGUAGAAGAUAACCUCCCAAGAUGAUGUGCAGCAAGAUUGAGCCUGAAACACAAGGUUGUGCAGCGAACUUCUUAAACACACACCUACAU